rnacentral:lncRNA from 1 species
AAAUUAUGUUGCAGAUAAAUGUAAUGAAUAUUCUUGGAUGUGUGAAAUAUUAGUGCUAGCUCUCAUUGUAAAAAAUAAAAAAAAGAAUAGAUCUGCUUUAUUAUUAGUCAGUUGAGUAGGCUGGUAGUGAAACACGGAGUGUUUGUGCAGUUCUAGAACAUUAGUAUGACAUUCUGUGACUCAUCAUUCUGUGUUCUGAGGCCCCGCUGGCAAAAUGGGCUCCCACCCCCAUUUCCUGGUGGAGUUGUGCCUCCUCUCUGCUCACACGUGUGGUAGCUGGUCUAUAGAGAACCACCCCAUGCAGCACAAACUGUAGUAUUGAAAUUCACCAUGAUGCGAGCAGGUUUUUACAGGUUUUGUUGGUUGUUUUCCAGGGCUCUGUCAUGGUGUGCUUCCACAACUGCAGUAUCACAGGCAGGCCAGAGAGGCUAUCAUGGUGCCUCCCUCAUAAAACAGGAUACUACUUAACACGUCCUGAUCAUUUUUACUUUUUAACCAGUUCAGAGCAGAAUCCAUGUUUUGUUUUUAUUAUUUUGGGAGUGUGACUGGUAUGUAAAGUGUAUGCCUACUGUUGAUGUCAGAUAAGUGCUUAUCAUUGGAAGCAUGUUUUUAUUUAACUAGGCUAGUCAGUUAAGAACAAAUUCUUAUUUACAAUGACGGCCUACCAAAAGGCCUCCUGCAAGGACGGGGUCUGGGAUUAAAAAUAUAGGACGAAACACACAUCACGACGAGACACCAAUACAUACAUAAAGAAAGAUGCCGAUAGUUUCAUCAGGUGCCUGGUGUCAGACGAUCCCACAGGUGAAGAAGCCGGAUGUGGAGAUCCUGGGCUGGCGCGGUUACACCUUGUCUGCGGUUGUGAGGCCAGUCGGAAGUAAUAACAAAUUCUCUCAAACAACAUUGGAGGUGGCUUAUGGUAGAGAAAUUAACAUUCAAUUUUCUGGCAACAGUUCUGGUGGACAUUCCUGCAGUCAGCAUGCCAAUUGUACGCUCCCUCAACUUGAGACAUCUGUG